rnacentral:rRNA from 1 species
CCCUUAGAGUUUGAUCCUGGCUCAGAAUCAACGCUGGCGGCGUGCCUCAGACAUGCAAGUCGAACGCGAAAGUUCCCUUCGGGGGGCGAGUAGAGUGGCGCACGGGUGAGUAACACGUAGGUAAUCUACCUUUGGAUGGGGAAUAACAACCGGAAACGGUUGCUAAUACCGCAUAAUGCAGCGGCACCUAGUGGUGACAGUUGUUAAAGCGGGGGAUCGAAAGACCUCGCGUCUGAAGAGGAGCCUGCGGCGGAUUAGCUAGUUGGUAAGGUAACGGCUUACCAAGGCGAUGAUCCGUAGCCGGCCUGAGAGGGCGGUCGGCCACACUGACACUGACAUACGGGUCAGACUCCUACGGGAGGCAGCAGUCGGGAAUUUUGGGCAAUGGGCGAAAGCCUGACCCAGCAACGCCGCGUGAAGGAUGAAAUCCCUCGGGAUGUAAACUUCGCAAGAACGGGAAGAAUAAGGUCAUGUUAACACCAUGAUCGAUGACGGUACCGUUUGUAAGCUCCGGCUAACUCCGUGCCAGCAGCCGCGGUAAUACGGGGGGAGCAAGCGUUGUUCGGAUUUACUGGGCGUAAAGGGCGCGUAGGCGGCCACCGCAAGUCAGUUGUGAAAUCUCUGGGCUUAACCCAGAACGGUCAACUGAUACUGCGGGGCUAGAGUGCAGAAGGGGCAACUGGAAUUCUCGGUGUAGCGGUGAAAUGCGUAGAUAUCGAGAGGACACC